rnacentral:rRNA from 1 species
CCUACGGAGGCAGCAGUGGGGAAUAUUGGACAAUGGGCGAAAGCCUGAUCCAGCCAUGCCGCGUGUGUGAAGAAGGCCUUCGGGUUGUAAAGCACUUUCAGUGGGGAAGAAAGCCUUGGGGCUAAUACCCUCGAGGAAGGACAUCACCCACAGAAGAAGCACCGGCUAACUCCGUGCCAGCAGCCGCGGUAAUACGGAGGGUGCGAGCGUUAAUCGGAAUUACUGGGCGUAAAGCGCGCGUAGGCGGUCUGAUAAGCCGGUUGUGAAAGCCCCGGGCUCAACCUGGGAACGGCAUCCGGAACUGUCAGGCUAGAGUGCAGGAGAGGAAGGUAGAAUUCCCGGUGUAGCGGUGAAAUGCGUAGAGAUCGGGAGGAAUACCAGUGGCGAAGGCGGCCUUCUGGACUGACACUGACGCUGAGGUGCGAAAGCGUGGGUAGCAAACAGGAUUAGAUACCCCGGUAGUC